AGGGGAUAUAGUUUAAUUGGUAAAACUGCGAUUUUGCAUAUCGUUAUUUUAGGAUCGAGUCCUAAUAUCUCCA
rnacentral:tRNA from 1 species